rnacentral:rRNA from 1 species
UACGAAGGGGGCGAGCGUUGUUCGGAUUUACUGGGCGUAAAGCGUGCGCAGGCGGUUUUGUAAGCCAGGUGUGAAAUCCCUGGGCUCAACCUGGGAAUGGCAUUUGGGACUGCAAGGCUGGAGUGCGGCAGAGGAGACUGGAAUUCCUGGUGUAGCAGUGAAAUGCGUAGAUAUCAGGAGGAACACCGAUGGCGAAGGCAGGUCUCUGGGCUGACACUGACGCUCAUGCACGAAAGCGUGGGGAGCAAACAGG